rnacentral:tRNA from 1 species
GCGGGCGUAGCUCAGUUGGUAGAGCGCCAGAUUGUGGCUCUGGCUGUCGCGGGUUCAAUCCCCGUCGCUCGCCCA